rnacentral:lncRNA from 1 species
GUUAGAUCAUAAGUUAAAGCCUGGUUCACAGCUUUCAGCUUUCUUCUGAAGUCAUGUUUUGCCAAUCAUUUAUCUUCUUCUUUAUGUAUUUUUUUAAAUUUACAAUGCCUAUUCUUAAACACUUUUCAGUAGAACAAUAUUUUUGGCUAAAAUCACCCUUUGAUUCAGAGGCAAAUGAGUUUCUCUACUUUGUGAAUCAACAGAAGAUAAUCUCUUAUCACGGUUUAUUGGCUAAUCAACCACUCAUCUCAUUGUCAUCUGAAGCCAUUGAGAAUCAGAUAUGCCAUGAGAUAGAUCUCAAGCCAAGGAAUUUUAAGUCAGUGAAUCACUUCUUGGUAAGUUUGUAGGAAAAAAUGGACCGUGAACUUAUCUUUGAGGGGUAUGUAUGUAAGUUUUCCAGAGACUCAGGGAAGCAAUGGGAAGAAGGCAUAUGAAAUAAUCUCUAAGAGGCAACACUUUCAACAUGUAAUUUUCUGAUGAGAAAUGAACAGGAAUCAAAAGGAUGCUACAUAAUGAUCAAAGAGUGAACCAACUACAUAAUGUGAAAACAUGAAUUAGACUAGACAAGGAGGUAGUUUUCAAAACAUGGCCUCAAAUUCUUUGACAUUCCCCCCAUUGAAAGGCAGAGUUUGUUCCCUCUUCUUGAAUCUGGAAGAGCUAUGAAUUCUCCAACCAAUAGAAAACAACAGAACCAAAUGACACUAAGUGACUUUAAAGGUAUAUCAUAAAAGGCCAUCCAGUUUCUACUUGUCUCCUGGAAAACUUACUUUGGAGAUCUGAGCAUCCUUUUAAGUAGCCCAACUUCUCUAAGGCACUAUACAGGAGAGGUCACCUGCAGACUUCCUAUAUAAUGUUCCCAAGAUGAACUAGUUUUUCAGACAGCCCAAGACAGUUCCAGAAGUAAAGAAGCCAUCUUGAAAGUAGGUGCUUUGGCUCCAGCUGUUCCUGUUUUUUCAAUCAUCACUGCACAUACAUCCUGGAGCAUAGAACCAUCCUUGCUGUACCCUUUCCAGAUUCCUGCCACACACAAUCCAUGAUUAUUAUUAUUUGAUGUCUUUAAGUAUAAAUUGGUUUGUUUUUCAGCAACAUGUAACCAGAACAGAAUUAAGUUAUCA